CCUUUCAGUGCAAUACGAUCAUUUCAUCAAAUAUCCCACAUAUGCCAUAAAGCAUAGCUCAGCAUCUACUUAUGACAUUCCGUAUUAGUUCUCAUAAUUCAUGACUAACUUUAUGAAUUUAGAAAACUAACUUUCCUCAAAUGUAUCAUGCUUUGGCUAAACACUUUAUACAAGUUAAUCAAGAAUUAAGAAAAAGUGAGAUACAUCCCCUCAUAUCACUUGGGGUGAUGAGUCCUUUAUUAACCACUCAUUCACCUUUGCAUGCUUCAUGACAUACCUAAAAAGACUUUGUUUAUGUCAUGACCUGGAACUCCCAUCGAGUCCGUGACAACCACCGUGACAUCCCGAUAGACAUUCAUUACGUGAAAUGUCAAUCGAAAUCUCGCAAGGCUUAACAUCAGUUUUUCUCGCUUUCCCUGUGAGUAUUAGUUGCUAAAAUCAUGUUUUGAGAGAUUAUAAACUAUUUCCAAUUCAAAACAAUAGAAAAAAAUAAAUUUUUCCUGACAAGGGACAUUUGGUCAUUUAUCCUCAAAAAUCUCAAAAUCCGCUAAAAAUGUAGUAAGCGAGUACAAAACACAUAAUUCAUAAUCAAAAAUGAGUUUUAAAGUCUAAAAUCUUCAUUUAAAAUGAAAUUGCGAUUAUUUGGAUAUAAUAAGAAAAUAAAAAAAUAUUAAGUAAAAUAUUCUAUUUUCUUAUAAAAUAAUAUUUAUAGAGUUAUACGUAAAUAAUUUUUAUAGUGUAAAAGCUAAAUAAAUUCAUACAUAUUGUAAUACAGUAAGUCAGAGUAUUUAAUUUAAUUUACAAUAACAAGUAACCCUCCCCGAAUAAACAAAAGUAAAGAUGACUGUGAACCUACAGUUUGAAGGAAUGCAAAUCCAAGGGUAGUCCUCGAUUUAACUCAGUUAUCUACAGCCUAAUCUGAACUUGAAAUGGGUGGAAAGGAGAGUGGUGAGAUUUUAUAAUCCUAGUGAGUAAACAAACAUCAUUCAAAAGAUCUAAAGUCGAGUAAAUGGAGACUAUUAAAACAUUUCAUCUAAAUAUGUUUUUCAUAACAUAAUUAUUCAUUUCAUUUAAAUAGUCAACAUGGCUUAUGAGUAUUUUAAAAGAUUGACUCCUGCCAAAAUCAUUCUCAGGGAUACCUUGGUCGAGGCAUCUAACCGAGUCCACCAAGGUUGUUAAAAAUUUUGUAUACAUGUAAACAAAUUAUUAGUUUGAAAAACACAGCCGUUCCUUGGCGUUAGCAGAGUUCAUCAUCACGAGAUGGUUCGGCGUGACGUGAACUCUAACCAUACCUCAGGAGAUACCCUACACGCCUCUCUAACCGAGAUACAUAUAUAUAAAUCCGGAUUUCAUGCCCCUCUAAUAGGCUGGUCCACAGAAUCCACCUACUGCAGCAAGCUAAACCCACCAUAUAAUAAAAUUUUGACAACAUGACAGGGCUAAUAUUUUACUACCCAGCCCGCAAGGGUAAAAUAAAACAAUUCAUACAAUUCAUAAGACACAGCCUAGCCAGUCAUGCCAACACAAUAACAUUAUAACAUAAGCCAUCAAUUUCCAAUCAUAAAUUUACAACAUACAAGUGGUCUCCAAUUACUCUAUUUUCAAAAUCGUUAUUUCGUUUCAAGACAAUUUAUAAAAUCUUUUCAUUUAAACACAUUUUUGUUUAUAAAACCUAAAAUUAGCCAUUCAACUCAUUUUUCAUAAAAUUUCACCAAAACCAAGUUAAAACAUACUUUAGAUAAUUAAAAUGAUGAUAAGGUUACUCACAAUGUCUAGAAUGGGGAUUUUCGAAGUACUCAGAUUACUGGUCCUCGGGUGCAAUUCUCUUGCCUUUAUCGGAGGACUCACCACCUUAACAUAGUAACAAAUCGAGAAACUUACUUCAUUGGUACUAAAUUGAAUUUAAACUAAUUUAGACUACUAAUGCAUGAUAUGGAAUGCAAAAUGCACUGAUAACUAUCUAAUCCCCGAUAUUGGCCUAGUUCAACUUAUCACUCGAUUAAUUGGCCAACGCAUCCAAUUUAGCUCCAAAUUGCUCCAUUUCUUUCUUAAUACCUCAAUUCACCAAAAAUUAUUCAAAUAACACUAAUUUCAGCGUCAAAACCCUCCCAUUUCUUCAUGGAAAAAUUCGGCAAUUACAGUGCACUAACACCGUGAUUUUUCCUACUUAAUUUUUCUCACCAUUAUUCAUCAUUUUCUAAGCCAUUUCUCUUGAAAUAAUAACAAUCCAUCACCCACGCACAUCAAGGAAGAUUCGGCCAAUGAAGAUUCAUGGGGAAAAUAGAUUCUUUUCUUGUUGUUUUGCUUCUAAAUAUGCUAAACUAACUAAAAACACUAACAUAUCUAAAAAUCAAAUCAAUCCAACAUCUUUCUCUCUCCAUACCCAUUUUGACCAACCAUGAAUUCAUCAUGAAAACAUGUAAUUUAACCAUGAAAAAUAAGGAAAAAUGCUUAAGGAAAAUAGAUUUCAAGUUUAAAUUGAAAAUUCCUACCUUUUUCACUUGUUUUCCUUGAUUUUUCACACUUUUUCGCUUGAAAUUCUCCACCUAGGGUUUGUUCUUCCUUUGUUUCCCUCUUUUCCUUGCUUGGC
rnacentral:lncRNA from 1 species